UACGUAGGGUGCAAGCGUUAAUCGGAAUUACUGGGCGUAAAGCGUGCGCAGGCGGUUUUGUAAGUUUGUCGUGAAAGCCCCCGGGCUCAACCUGGGAAUUGCGAUGAAGACUGCAAGGCUUGAAUCUGGCAGAGGGGGGUAGAAUUCCACGUGUAGCAGUGAAAUGCGUAGAGAUGUGGAGGAACACCGAUGGCGAAGGCAGCCCCCUGGGUCAAGAUUGACGCUCAUGCACGAAAAGCGUGGGGAGCAAACAGG
rnacentral:rRNA from 1 species